UUCACUUUGGCCUCAAACGAUCCAAAAUUGGAAUCAUAUUAUAGAGUUUAUCAUUGUCCCUGUGCAAGGAUGACACGUAAAGUUGAAAAAUGGUCCAUACUUUU